rnacentral:rRNA from 1 species
CUGGCAGCGUGGAUAGGCAUGCAAGUCGGACGGGAUCGUCUGGAUAGCAAUAUUCGGGCGUGAGAGUGGCGGAUGGGAGGAGCACGUGAGCAACCUGCCCUGGAGAUGUGGAAAACCUCUGGAAACGGAGGCUAAUACAGAAUGUGGCGCCCCGUGGCAUCACGGGAGCGCCGAAGGGGCCGCAAGGCUCCCGCUCCGGGAUGGGCUCGCGCACCAUCAGCUAGUUGGCGGGUAACGGCCCACCAAGGCCUACGGUUAGCUGGUCUGAGAGGAUGACCAGCCCCACUGGGACUGAGAUACUGCCCAGACUCCUACGGGAGGCUGCAGUCGAGGAUCAUUCGCAAUGGGCGAAAGCCUGACGAUGCGACGCUGCGUGGAGGAUGAAGGCCUUCGGGUCGUAAACUCCUGUCAUGGGGGAAGAGGCGAGGGAAGCGAACACCUUCCUUAGUUGACUGUACCCCAAGAGGAAGCGACGGCUAACUCUGUGCCAGCAGCUGC